GAGCAAGCACUAACUUGCAUGCUAGCUAAAAAUGUUAAUGAAGUGUAGUUGCAGAAUUAUAUGUGGGAAACGAACCCAGAAUAAACAGAAGUUCAAAUAAAAAUGAACCCAGCACGGAUUAAAGCAUUUAUUUCUAAUCCAGGAGCAAUAAAGAUUUGUACAAUGCUGGUCUGGAUAACAAGUGAAUCAAAACAGCACAACAUUACACACAAUUUUAUAAAGUUGUACCACACAGGAUUCAAAUCCACAACCUCCUGGUCACGCACCUGUCACCAAUCCUGUUGUACCUCUGGGGAGAUGAGUGUGCACACAGAUGCUGAAGUUCAGAAGUUGAACUGAGAAUCAAAUCAAAGUAAUGAAUUUGUACUUAAAUGCACUGUCGUAUUUUUAAUAGAUUGCGAUGAGAUCAUACUUGGAAGGGCAUAAUGCCUGCAACAGAAGCAACUCCUGCAUGAUUUCUUGCCACAGCACCUCUUGGGGUCUGGGCAUGUGCCACCCUGGAUUCGAACCCAUGACUUGAAAGGUUCGAGGUCAGCAGUUUAGCAGAGUGCGCCACUCAGUUGACGCAUGUCUGAUAAAUUGAGCCUACUGUGGAGAGGUUAAGGUGUGAGAAUGAGAAUUUUUUAACUGCUGGUGGCGCUAUAGAGUUGGUCCUAGAGACCCCAAAAUUGGUCAGAUCACUGAUCAUGGCCAUCACUACAAGUGUGCCAAUUUUCAUCAUUUUCCUACGUUCCCUUCAUUGGCAGCCAUAGACUCCCAUAGGCCAAGAAGAAGAAAUUAGACAGAAACAAGAUCCAAAAUUCGGCAUGACCCAAGGAAUCGAUAGACACAAAGAUUAUAAUUUUCUGACUACCUGUUCGAAAGUUAUAAGCAAAUAUGUUCAUUUAGCUAUCUGACGACCAAUAGGUGGCGCUAUUCCCAACUUUGGCAUGGACCCUCAGAUCAUGGUGUUGAUAAAGCGUACCAAGUUUCGUUUCGCUUGAUCAAAGUUUGGCCGAGAUACAGCCUCUGAACCAAUUUUGGGUCGACCUCGUUAAGUUCACAACAUCAUAACUUUUGAACAAAGAUUAAUAAAAAAGAAAUUUACAGAUUUUUGUGCAGAUAUGUCAAAUGGUUCAAAAGAUAUCGCAAUUUAUGACAAAUUUCAAAAUGGUGGACAUGUGGUUCAGCCAAUCCUGGUAAAAUUGACAUCCAACUGGUGGUGGCGCUAUAGAGUUGGUUCUAGAGACCCCAAAGUUGGUCAGAUCACUAAUCAUGGCCAUCACUACAAGUGUGCCAAAUUUCAUCAUUUUCCUAUGUUCCCUUCAUAGGGCUGCCAUAGACUUCCAUGGGAAGAAAAUAAUAAUAAUAAAACAUACAAUUACAACAAGGGCUACAACCCUUUGGGUUUGGCCCCUAAUAAUAAAACAUACAGAUACAAUAGAGGCUACAGCCCAUUCUGGGCUUGGCCCAUAAAUACCCCUGUAAGUCACUUUUAAUGUAACAUAUUAGAUCUGUGCAUGAGGUCUUAAAGAGACAGCAGCCUAAAUAAACUUCCUGCUGUCUUUCAUUAUACAGUGAAGAUUAUCCAGUGUUAUUUUACAGUUGAAUAGAUUAUAGUUAGAUCUAACUGAAUUUUUUUUAUUUAAUUUGUAUCUUAUUGUUUUUGUUUGUGCUAUUGAUUGUUAUUAAUUUAUUUGUUUAUUAAUUUAAUUAAUUAAUUAUAGUAAUUCAUUUUAUUAAUUUGUUCUUAUUUUAUUAUUUACUAUUUACUUGUCUUUUUUAGUUAAAAUAAAUUCAAUUGUAAGUGCGCAUGAAUCAUGGGUGUGGAAAUAGUUCAGCGUUGUCGAAAAUAACGGCUUCAGACAAUUGCUUCACAAGUGUGUGCCACGUUACGCGAUACCGACACGUCAGUAUUUAACAGAAACAGCAAUUCCUCAUUUGUUCGAAACCUCAGUAUUCGUAAAAGACUAGGCGAGAAAUCCCCGGAUAUACUACUGCUUCAGCCCAGAUUCUUGAGUGUUCAUCUGAUGGACACUUUUCAAUCCCAGGAGGCUACGGGAGAGGAUAGGUCAUCAUCGAACAUGACGAGGGUGUUUACGAAUAUGAGUAUUAUAAAUCAAAAACACGGUUACAUGUGUUAAAAUUAUAUUUGCUGAGCUACUGUGUAGUAAACUGUUGAUUUGCUUAAGGUGUAAAGAUGCUAGACAGUAACGUUACAGUAUAUUUAUGAUUUUGCUGUAAAAACACGUUUUAUUAUGUAGCCUAUAGCGAACAGGAGAGCUACAGUAAACACACGCAUGUCUCCAAAGUGCAUCUUAAAGAUGAUUACUAAAUGUCUAAUUAAAAUGAGACAGGAAAACAUUCUAAAAGAAUUGCAGAUGAGCGCAUCACAACAUGAACAGACAUCUGAGUGAUGUAUGUGUUAUGUAGAAUUCACUGUUGUCAGCACUGCUUUAGAUGAAUUUAAGUAAUGUAAAUAAACAAAUCUACAUGGAGUAACUAAACAUAAGUUAUCUAUUUCAUUUGUCCAUUUGUAUUGUCGAUAAAUUGAGGAACAUUUGUGGUGGAUAAAAAGUGAGUUAACACAUCAGCAACCACCUCAACAUGUAAAUAUAGUAUUGAGCAGAUAAAUCACAGAGGUGACUGAAUCUUGUCUGGAUGUUACAGAGACACACGAGUGUUUAUCCGGUGAAGAGUGACUGAUGGAGGGAUGCUGCCAUCAAAGGCUUUGAGCGAAGAACCCCCACUGCCCGGAGGACAGGCACAAAGUGGCACAGUUCAUGUGCCACGACACCACCACAGCUGAUAGGUUUUAUGCCCUCAACCUUGAUGCAAAGCAAGCGGCAGAACACCAUCGCCUCUUUGAUUCAGCUGUGGCGGGUGAGGAAGCUGUGCCUGAAAGUCCACAGCAGCACGGUGCCUCAAAACGAAAAAUGAAAAAACCUUGCAAGCUGCCAGCCAAAAAAAGGUCCCCCUCCACUAGCCCAUCGUCCUCCGACAGCCCUCCCCAUGCUGAAGAAGGCCAGGAGUCGAGGGAAUCUGCUUCAGAAGGAACCCCGUCAAAAAGGAGGUGUCUCAGACACAGACUGGUGGUGCAGCUUUCCCCCUUUAAAUCACCACAAAAGAUAGUGUCCAAAAGGCUGCUCGAAAAAGCUAAAAAAAACUCUGAAGAGCUUCAAAAGAGCCCCGAUGUAAAUAGUGUGUUUUUGUUGUUUUUUUCUAUAAAUAGUGCUCUUUAAAUGUUUUCUUUUUAAAUUGGUGAGUUUGAUGUUUGGUUUUCUUCUUUUUCAUAUUUCUGAUUUUGUGUAAUUGGGUUUGCAUAUUGCCAGUAAAGACCCCUGUAAAUAGUGUGUUUUGGUCUUUAAAUUGUUUCUUUUGAUUUUGUUUUUUCUUCUUUUUUAUGUUCAUAUUUCUGAGUUUUUUUUGUGUAAUUUGUUGUUAAAUUUUCCAGUAAAGACUUAAAACUUACUUUCGUCUUGCCUUUCUUGCUGCAACAUGAAUUCAAUUUAAAAAUUAUAUUAUUAUUAUUUAUUUAUUAUUAUUAAUUGCAAUAUAUUGUUGUUAUAUAAUAAUUAUAAAAUAACUACCACAAAAAUAUGAUAGAAUUAAAGAAAUAAAUAAUUCAUAAAUGUAUUAAAAUUAAAACAAAGAAAUAAAUACCAAAUAUAUGAA